rnacentral:rRNA from 1 species
AGCAUGUGGUUUAAUUCGAUGCAACGCGCAGAACCUUACCAGCUCUUGACAUGGGAAGUAUGGGGCCGUGAAGCGGUUCCUUCAGUCGGCCGGCUUCCACACAGGUGCUGCAUGGCUGUCGUCAGCUCGUGUCGUGAGAUGUUGGGUUAAGUCCCGCAACGAGCGCAACCCUCAUCCUCAGUUGCCAUCAGGUUAAGCUGGGCACUCUGAGGAAACUGCCGGUGACAAGCCGGAGGAAGGCGGGGAUGACGUCAAGUCCUCAUGGCCUUUAUGGGCUGGGCUACACACGUGCUACAAUGGCGGAUACAGUGGGACGCGAAGGGGCAACCCUGGGCCAAUCUCAAAAAUCCGUCUCAGUUCAGAUUGCACUCUGCAACUCGAGUGCAUGAAGGUGGAAUCGCUAGUAAUCGCGGAUCAGCACGCCGCGGUGAAUACGUUCCCGGGCCUU